rnacentral:rRNA from 1 species
UACGUAGGGGGCGAGCGUUAUCCGGAAUUACUGGGCGUAAAGGGUGCGCAGGCGGUUAUAUAAGACAGAUGUGAAAUCCCCGGGCUCAACCUGGGAACUGCGUUUGUGACUGUAUGACUAGAGUACGGUAGAGAGGGGUGGAAUUCCUGGUGUAGCAGUGAAAUGCGUAGAUAUCAGGAGGAACAUCGAUGGCGAAGGCAGCCCCUUGGACCUGUACUGACGCUCAUGCACGAAAGCGUGGGGAGCAAACAGG